AUGCUCACGCUGCCGGCCGGACUGCACAGCCGCCUCAGGGAAAGGCCGCCUGCCCCGCCGCGGCCCGCCCCACCGCUCCCGACCCCGGCGCCUGCCCCGUCGUCCUCCCCUUCCCCCUUCGCCUUCGCCCCCCGUCGCCUCCGCCUCGGCCUCCAUCACCCGCUGCUGGAGGAUGGAGACAUUCACAGGCACCUCUACCUCCAGGGUGUCCUCACCAGCCUCGCGGAGGUGGCAGAGAGACCCAAGGUGUCUGAAUUCAGUUGCCACAUCUCUGGGUGCUGCCAGGUCUUUGAUACACUGGAGGGCUACGAGCACCACUACAACACGCUGCACAGGAACGUCUGCUCCUUCUGCAAGCGCUCCUUUCCAUCGGGGCAUCUUUUGGAUAUUCACAUCUUGGAAUGGCACGACUCGCUCUUCCAGAUAAUGGCCGAGAAGCAAAACAUGUACAAGUGUUUGGUAGAAGGCUGUGCAGAGAAGUUCAAGAGCAGCAAGGACAGAAAGGAUCACUUGGUCACCGUUCACCUUUAUCCUGCUGACUUUCGGUUUGAUAGGCCGAAGAAAGUGCAAAGUGGCCCCAAGCACGUGAGCUCUCCUGUGAAGCAGGGUGUUGGUGUACCAAUGGAUGUGAGCAUGGAGACAUCGGAACCAUUCCCAGUGGACCCCAUGGAAAUAGGGCCCAGUGAGAACAUGGAGAUCCCUCAUCCUGCAGCCAGCCCUGGCCUCGGGGUGCCAGAGAAACGACACUAUAAAUCCAGAAUCCCAUCCACAAUUUGCUUUGGACAAGGUGCCACCCGAGGAUUUAAAGGACCAAGGAAGAAAGUCUGAAGGUCAGCGCACCAGAUUUGUGCACGAUGAGAAGGCCACUGGCUGCUGUCACCCAUAAAUGUUUGCGACAGCACUGCGGCUGAGCUGGGAUAUUUGCAGCUGCGUAGGAGGGUCCUGCUCCGUACAGGGAAGGCAGAAGGGCGAAAACAGGGAUUGCGCGGCAGCUGUUUGGGAUACAUCAAUACCUUGGGACGGGCUUUGCUACGGUCCCUCUGUGUCUCUGUACCACCCUCAGUUGGGCAGCAUUUCAGAGCUGACCCGUGCUUACGUUUAUCCUUCCCAAGACACAACAGUCUCUUUUCUGAUCCCCUCUGAAAUCAAACUACGAAUACAUUCCUCUGCCUCUGUGCUGUGAGCGUUUGUGUCUCAUCAGUGCCAGGACCACUCUGAGCAGCAGUGGCAUUCUAGAUGGAUGGUCACAUCUCACCUGAACUUGCAAAUGCUGUUCUGAAACUCCGGGCAGCUGUGGGGAUCGCAUACACUUUGUGAAAAACUUGCAAGGCAUCACCCCCAAAGAUGCAGCAGGAAUGACACCGGGCAAAGUAUGCCGUGUUUCCUCUUCCUGCAGAAAGCUCUACAUCCCCCCAGCCUCCUCAGCUGGCCCUCGGGCAAGGUGUCACGCUUCCCUGCCAGCCCUGCUUGCACAAAGGAGAACCAAAAUAAAAUCCAGAGGAAGAGCAGUGUAGAUUAAAGCAAUUGAUUUAAUUAUUUUAAUUGAAUUCUUUCAUUUUCUUGCUGUUUUUAAAAGCUCCCGGCGAGGACAGCCCCGGGCAGACACGGGGCAGGUUGAACUACGCAUCAGCUGCUCGCAGAAAGUUUCAGGCUGCAGUGGAGCGCUGCGACGUGGAGGUGAGAGGAGAUCAGCUGCUGGAGCUGAGGCUACGCAGGAUUGGGGUUUUUUUUGCUUUUUUGUCUUUUGGGGGGAAGAAAUAGAUUCAAGAAAUUGGAAGACAAAAUCUGCUGACUGUUCAGAAGCUGGUGCCACUGACUAAAAGAAAAAAACAGAGGAAAAAAAAGCACAGGUCCUUAAUUCUGUCCUCCUCCAUCUUGCCGAAGUCUGCUCUCGUCCCUGGCACUUGAUCUCAAACCCCCACAAAAGGUUUGCCCAGGACAGGAAAAGCAUUCUGGUGCCUUGCAGCUCAUUUCCAUGGGGAGUUAGAAUAAAGUGACUUCCAACUAGCUGAAUAAAUAAAAGGAAUUUUUACAAAAUUGCUUUGUAGAGGAUUUAAAUGCUGUUUUGAAGCCCAGGCAGUCAGAUGUAAAGAGUGAACCUUCCCCGGCUCCAAAUACACCAAAAAUCAGGCAGUAGCAGGUGGAGUCACACAGCGGCAGCUGUCAGAAGGACAACGGGCCGGUCGGACAUACGGACAGGCACGCCUGCAAGCAAACGCACGCAGAGAGCGGGACUCGGGGCGGCACGCGUGCGUGCAUGCCACUUGUACACGCGUGUACGGCAGCUGUGCGCGCACACACCACGCACAGGGCGUUUGCAAGCAAGUGCGCCCAUGG